rnacentral:rRNA from 1 species
GAUGAACGCUGGCGGCACGCCUAACACAUGCAAGUCGAACGGUGAAAGCGGAGCUUGCUCCGCUGGAUCAGUGGCGAACGGGUGAGUAACACGUGGGCAACCUGCCCCUCACUUCGGGAUAACUCCGGGAAACCGGGGCUAAUACCGGAUAUGACCUCCUUGGGCCUCCUUGGAGGGGGAAAGGUUUUCGGUGCGGGCUGUGCCCCGGGCCUAGCAGCUUGUUGGUGGGGUAGUGGCGCACCAAGGCGACGACGGGUAGCCGGCCUGAGAGGGCGACCGGCCACACUGGGACUGAGACACGGCCCAGACUCCUACGGGAGGCAGCAGUAGGGAAUCUUCCGCAAUGGACGAAAGUCUGACGGAGCAACGCCGCGUGAGUGAUGAAGGCUUUCGGGUCGUAAAACUCUGUUGUUAGGGAAGAACAAGUGCUAGUUGAAUAAGCUGGCACCUUGACGGUACCUAACCAGAAAGCCACGGCUAACUACGUGCCAGCCGCCGCGGUAA